CAGAAGUUAGAGGAUGUAGUGAGGUGUGUUCUCAUAUAGCAGAAUGGUGGAAGGGCAAAAGGGGCAUCAGCUAUUUUCCCCCAACGUAUUUUUUUAAUUAGGCACUAAUCCAUUUAUGAGGGCAGAGCCCUUGUUACUUAGUCAAUUCUCAAAGGUCCCACUUCUUAAUUUCACCACAAGGGGAUUCAGUUUAUGAGAGAAUUCUUUAUGUAUUUUAGAGGCAUUAUCUUCAAGAUAUAAUGUUAAAUAAAAAGCAAAUGUUCAAGAUAAUUUAUAUAAUUUAGUGCCAUUUGUGUAACAUACACAUUUACUUCUGUACUGCAUUGUUUUAUUAAGAAAGGGAAAGAUGGAUUCUCAGAUUUGAUUAAUAUUACUGCACAUGUGUUCCAUGGGCUAUCAGUGUGGGCAUCACCUGAGA
rnacentral:lncRNA from 1 species